rnacentral:rRNA from 1 species
UGAGACCUGAUGCCGAGCCGAUUGUGGUGAAGUGGAUGAUCCUAUGCUGUCGAGAAAAGCCUCUAGCGAGUUUCAUGGCGGCCCGUACCCUAAACCGACUCAGGUGGUCAGGUAGAGAAUACCGAGGCGUUCGGGUGAACUAUGGUUAAGGAACUCGGCAAAAUGCCCCCGUAACUUCGGGAGAAGGGGGGCCACGGCUGGUGAUCACCCUUGCGGUGUGAGCUGGUGGUGGCCGCAGAGACCAGCGAGAAGCGACUGUUUACUAAAAACACAGGUCCGUGCGAAGCCGUAAGGCGAUGUAUACGGACUGACGCCUGCCCGGUGCUGGAACGUUAAGGGGACCGGUUAGCUCCAUUUCGGUGGGGCGAAGCUGAGAACUUAAGCGCCAGUAAACGGCGGUGGUAACUAUAACCAUCCUAAGGUAGCGAAAUUCCUUGUCGGGUAAGUUCCGACCUGCACGAAUGGCGUAACGACUUCUCGACUGUCUCAACCAUAGGCCCGGUGAAAUUGCACUACGAGUAAAGAUGCUCGUUUCGCGCAGCAGGACGGAAAGACCCCGGGACCUUUACUAUAGCUUGAUAUUGGUGUUUGGUUCGGCUUGUGUAGGAUAGGUGGGAGACUGUGAAGCCGUGACGCCAGUCAUGGUGGAGUCGUUGUUGAAAUACCACUCUGGUCGUGCUGGAUGUCUAACCUGGGUCCGUGAUCCGGAUCAGGGACAGUGUCUGGUGGGUAGUUUAACUGGGGCGGUUGCCUCCUAAAGGGUAACGGAGGCGCCCAAAGGUUCCCUCAGCCUGGUUGGCAAUCAGGUGUUGAGUGUAAGUGCACAAGGGAGCUUGACUGUGAGACUGACGGGUCGAGCAGGUACGAAAGUAGGGACUAGUGAUCCGGCGGUGGCUUGUGGAAGCGCCGUCGCUCAACGGAUAAAAGGUACCCCGGGGAUAACAGGCUGAUCUUCCCCAAGAGUCCAUAUCGACGGGAUGGUUUGGCACCUCGAUGUCGGCUCGUCGCAUCCUGGGGCUGGAGUCGGUCCCAAGGGUUGGGCUGUUCGCCCAUUAAAGCGGUACGCGAGCUGGGUUUAGAACGUCGUGAGACAGUUCGGUCCCUAUCCGCUGUGCGCGUAGGAGUCUUGAGAAGGGCUGUCCCUAGUACGAGAGGACCGGGACGGACGAACCUCUGGUGUGCCAGUUGUUCUGCCAAGGGCAUGGCUGGUUGGCUACGUUCGGAAAGGAUAACCGCUGAAAGCAUCUAAGCGGGAAGCCUGCUUCGAGAUGAGGGCUCCCUCCCACUUGAUGGGGUAAGGCU